AUUUUUAUAGUCUAGUGGUUAUCACGUUCGCCUAACACGCGAAAGGUCCCCAGUUCGAAACUGGGUGGAAACA
rnacentral:tRNA from 1 species